UUUCCACAACAGACCUGUAAAUUAACAACAGUUUAUGUCCUCAUUUUUAGAUCGUUGAUGUACAGUGGUGAAGUAACCAAGAGGCCCUCAGGCAGUAAGUGGGAGAGCCAGUGCACCACCCCAGACCUUCUGCUCAGAGGCCACAUCUAGAUCAUUACCAACCACUCCAGGCCAGGUACAAACACACAACAGAGAACUUUCAACUCAAAUUCCCCUGAACCUUUCAACAGGGCCUUCUCUUCAGGAACUUCAUCCUCUCUGGCUCGACAAAAACCCUUCACAGAAGUAAUGACUCCAACUUGCAGAAGAGGGAGCUAAAGUUCAGAGAAGUUGAGUGAACUCAAGGAAAUAGUCCUACUGGUGGAAGCAGGAUCCCAACUCAGAUCUGGGUGUCAUGAAACUCUGUUCUUUAACAGCUCUCA